UACGUAGGUCGCAAGCGUUGUCCGGAUUUACUGGGCGUAAAGAGCGCGCAGGCGGCUGGUCAAGUCCGAUGUGAAAUCUCCCGGCUUAACUGGGAAACUGCAUCGGAAACUGAUCGGCUUGAAGGUGGGAGAGGGUAGUGGAAUUCCCGGUGUAGUGGUGAAAUGCGUAGAUAUCGGGGGGAAUACCAGUGGCGAAAGCGGCACCCUAGCGUUAGCCUGACGCUCAUGUGCGAAAGCGUGGGGAGCGAACGGG
rnacentral:rRNA from 1 species